rnacentral:rRNA from 1 species
GUGGGGAAUAUUGGACAAUGGGCGAAAGCCUGAUCCAGCCAUGCCGCGUGUGUGAAGAAGGUCUUCGGAUUGUAAAGCACUUUAAGUUGGGAGGAAGGGCAGUAAGUUAAUACCUUGCUGUUUUGACGUUACCGACAGAAUAAGCACCGGCUAACUUCGUGCCAGCAGCCGCGGUAAUACGAAGGGUGCAAGCGUUAAUCGGAAUCACUGGGCGUAAAGCGCGCGUAGGUGGUUUUGUAAGUUGGAGGUGAAAUCCCCGGGCUCAACCUGGGAACUGCCUCCAAAACUGCAUGACUAGAGUACGGUAGAGGGUAGCGGAAUUUCCUGUGUAGCGGUGAAAUGCGUAGAUAUAGGAAGGAACACCAGUGGCGAAGGCGACUACCUGGACUGAUACUGACACUGAGGUGCGAAAGCGUGGGGAGCAAACAGGAUUAGAAACCCGAGUAGUCC